rnacentral:rRNA from 1 species
GACGAACGCUGGCGGCGUGCUUAACACAUGCAAGUCGAACGGAAAGGCCCUGCUUUUGUGGGGUGCUCGAGUGGCGAACGGGUGAGUAACACGUGAGUAACCUGCCCUUGACUUUGGGAUAACUUCAGGAAACUGGGGCUAAUACCGGAUAGGAGCUCCUGCUGCAUGGUGGGGGUUGGAACGUUUCGGCGGUUGGGGAUGGACUCGCGGCUUAUCAGCUUGUUGGUUGGGUAGUGGCUUACCAAGGCUUUGACGGGUAGCCGGCCUGAGAGGGUGACCGGCCACAUGGGGACUGAGAUACGGCCCAGACGGCUACGGGAGGCAGCAGUGGGGAAUAUUGCACAAUGGGCGGAAGCCUGAUGCAGCAACGCCGCGGGCGGGAUGACGGCCUUCGGGUUGUAAACCGCUUUCGCCUGUGACGAAGCGUGAGUGACGGUAAUGGGUAAAGAAGCACCGGCUAACUACGUG